AGAGGGGCAGUGGCUUGCCUGUUGGAUGUCAUUCGGCUCUCACCUCUUCCGCCUUUCUGGUCGAAGCAAGGAUUUGCCCAGAGAUAUCAGAUUCUUCAGUGUCAGCUGGACAAAAGUAUAAUCAGCUGGACGUGGUUGCGCACUUUUGAAAUCCCAGCACUCUGGGAGGCUGAGAACAUCUUCAAGCAGUGGUUCUCAACUUUGAUGUGUAUUAGGACUGACUGAGAAGACUUGAAAAAUCAUCACACCCUGGCCCUGCCCCAGCACAAUUAAAUAAAGGUCUCUGAGGAUGAAACUCAGGUCUCCAUACUUUUUAAAGUUGUUCAGAUUAGAGACUCUGCUUCCACCAUGCUCUCGUUCUCUCUCUGAUCGUCCAUCCUGGAGGAAGCCAGCUGCUGCAUCCUGGGGACAUUGGAGCAGCCUGUGGAGAGGCCACCCAGGAGGAACUGAGGCUGGCUGCCAAUUACCAGCCCGAACCCGCCUGCCAGGUGAGUGAGUCAUCUGGGAAACAGCUCCUCCAGGCUUGUCAAACCUGCCUGUGACUUCAGCCCUGCAGCCUUCAGCUGAGGCCCCAGACGUGGUGGAGCAGAGCCAAGCCAGUCCUGCCAUGCCCUGGAUUCUCAACCCACAGAGCUGUGCGAGAAUAAAUGGAGACUGUCACUUGAAGCCACUAUGCUUCGAGGUAGUUUGUAUUACAGCGAGAGAGAAUGGAUCCAAUGGUGGCAGGUGUACUUGGGGUGCCAUGGGAAGACCAAGACUGGGUGCU
ensembl:lncRNA